rnacentral:rRNA from 1 species
GGCGGCACGCUUAACACAUGCAAGUCGAACGGAGAAUAUCGAAGCUUGCUUUGAUAUUCUUAGUGGCGGACGGGUGAGUAACACGUGAGUAACCUGCCUCUGAGAGUGGGAUAGCUUCUGGAAACGGAUGGUAAUACCGCAUGAAAUCAUAGUAUCGCAUGGUACAAUGAUCAAAGAUUUAUCGCUCAGAGAUGGACUCGCGUCUGAUUAGCUAGUUGGUAAGGUAACGGCUUACCAAGGCGACGAUCAGUAGCCGGACUGAGAGGUUGAUCGGCCACAUUGGGACUGAGACACGGCCCAGACUCCUACGGGAGGCAGCAGUGGGGAAUAUUGCACAAUGGGGGAAACCCUGAUGCAGCGAUGCCGCGUGGAGGAAGAAGGUUUUCGGAUUGUAAACUCCUGUUGAAGAGGACGAUAAUGACGGUACUCUUUUAGAAAGCUCCGGCUAACUACGUGCCAGCAGCCGCGGUAAUACGUAGGGAGCGAGCGUUGUCCGGAAUUACUGGGUGUAAAGGGAGCGUAGGCGGGACGGCAAGUCAGAUGUGAAAACUAUGGGCUCAACCCAUAGACUGCAUUUGAAACUGUUGUUCUUGAGUGAGGUAGAGGUAAGCGGAAUUCCUGGUGUAGCGGUGAAAUGCGUAGAGAUCAGGAGGAACAUCGGUGGCGAAGGCGGCUUACUGGGCCUUUACUGACGCUGAGGCUCGAAAGCGUGGGGAGAAAACAGGAUUAGAUACCCUGGUAGUCCACGCCGUAAACGAUGAUUACUAGGUGUGGGGGGACUGACCCCUUCCGUGCCGCAGUUAACACAAUAAGUAAUCCACCU